UGGCAAUGAUGACAAAAAGGCCGGACUUACAGCUGCCUUGGAUCCCAUCCAAAUGGUAGUAGAAGGAUGAAAACUCUCAUAAGGUGUUUGUUGAGCCAG
rfam:Nelumbo nucifera unplaced genomic scaffold scaffold00091, whole genome shotgun sequence